rnacentral:rRNA from 1 species
CAGUCGCCGCGGGAAUACGUAGGUGGCAAGCGUUGUCCGGAAUUAUUGGGCGUAAAGCGCGCGCAGGUGGUUUAAUAAGUCUGAUGUGAAAGCCCACGGCUCAACCGUGGAGGGUCAUUGGAAACUGUUAAACUUGAGUGCAGGAGAGAAAAGUGGAAUUCCUAGUGUAGCGGUGAAAUGCGUAGAGAUUAGGAGGAACACCAGUGGCGAAGGCGGCUUUUUGGCCUGUAACUGACACUGAGGCGCGAAAGCGUGGGGAGCAAACGGGAUUAGAUACCCCCGUAGUCCCUGUCUCUUAUAC